AAGGCUUUAUAUAGCCAUAGUUUCUUAUUCAAUGAAUUAUCCCUUUCAAUCUUCACUCUCUGUUUUCCACAAGAUGUAAUAAUAAUAUAUUUAAACUUUCUCAAUUGGCUUAGUUUACUUGAUCAUUAUAUUAUGCAUCAUGGUACCAUGCACAGCCAAGACGAAAGAUAGAAGGAGAUUUGAGAAAAUUGGAGGCGUCGUUAGAAUCCAUGGAAGAAAACGAUGGUGAGAUUGAAGAAGGCAGAGAUGGCAAAGCCAAAAUUGACGAGCGUGAAGCCCGAGUGGGAUGUGUACAGCUUCGAUGAGCAGUUUUCAUCAGGCGAGGAGGAGGCUUUAGAAACUUAUAGCAUCGUUAAACGCCAGCUGAUCGAGAGCAAGGAUUUUACGUGGAGCCAUGGAGAAGGCUAAGGUGCUGUUCGUUUCUCCAUUGAGAUGGAUCAUCCAGAUGGAGAUGAAAAAUGAUGCUCUUUUUUGACCAUUUAACAGAUCAUUGAGAUGAAUCAGUUGAAUGAACUUUACUAAACUCAUUUUGAAAAUUUUGAAAAUUUUGACCGAGUCUGAUUGGUGCAGUCAGCCGGAAAUGUCAAAAAUACCCCUAAUGAAACUCAACAAUUACACAUCGAUUUUCUUCUCUUCUCUCGGCGACGACAAGCUCUGUUCUCUCUCACACGUCAUUUUGAUCUCUCUCGGCGGACGAAGCUCUCUCUCGCUUCGAUUUCUCUCUCGACUCCUUCUCCUGUUUAAAUUUGCUUUAAAGACGAUGCAACAAGGUCAGGAGAAGAAGCAAGAAGAUAGUGAUUUUAAACAUUGGGAAAUGGUGGAAUCAUAUGAGCAGCAUGGUGAUGAAAAUGAUGGGCAUGUUCCAUAUGUACCUUCUGGUGACAGAAUUAUGGAGGCUAUGCGGGAUUCUGUUAAAUCUCUUCUGGUUCAAUAAGAUUGGUACUUUAGCUGAGUUUUGAUGUUGCAGGUUGAUCUUAAGGCUGAGGCAGAGAAGACUGAUGGUGGUGUUGGAACUGGUAACCAGAAUAAGAAUUUGAAGACUUUGACAAAGGAGAUGCUCUAUAUGAGGCUUGGGUUGUAUUGAUUUUUGAAGUUUAUGUUUGGUAAUGAUGUUGGCUCUUCGUUAAUUGUCAUAACAUAUGUUUUGGUUCUUAUAAAAAAAUCAAUUUCAUGAAAA